rnacentral:rRNA from 1 species
AUUGAACGCUGGCGGCAUGCUUUACACAUGCAAGUCGAACGGUAACAGGCCGCAAGGUGCUGACGAGUGGCGAACGGGUGAGUAAUGCAUCGGAACGUGCCCAGUCGUGGGGGAUAACUACUCGAAAGAGUAGCUAAUACCGCAUACGAUCUAUGGAUGAAAGCGGGGGACCGUAAGGCCUCGCGCGAUUGAGCGGCCGAUGUCAGAUUAGGUAGUUGGUGGGGUAAAGGCUCACCAAGCCAACGAUCUGUAGCUGGUCUGAGAGGACGACCAGCCACACUGGGACUGGGACACGGCCCAGACUCCUACGGGAGGCAGCAGUGGGGAAUUUUGGACAAUGGGCGCAAGCCUGAUCCAGCAAUGCCGCGUGCAGGAAGAAGGCCUUCGGGUUGUAAACUGCUUUUGUACGGAACGAAACGGCUCUGGUUAAUACCCGGGGCUAAUGACGGUACCGUAAGAAUAAGCACCGGCUAACUACGUG